GGCCUGAUAGCCAAGUGGUAAGGCAGGGGUCUGCAAAACCCCUAUACGCCGGUUCGAUUCCGGCUCAGGCCUCCA
rnacentral:tRNA from 1 species